CACGUAGUUAGCCGUGGCUUUCUGGUUAGGUACCGUCAAGGUACAAGCAGUUACUCUUGUACUUGUUCUUCCCUAACAACAGAGUUUUUACGAUCCGAAAACCUUCAUCACUCACGCGGCGUUGCUCCGUCAGACUUUCGUCCAUUGCGGAAGAUUCCCUACUGCUGCCUCCCGUAGGAGUCUGGGCCGUGUCUCAGUCCCAGUGUGGCCGAUCACCCUCUCAGGUCGGCUACGCAUCGUUGCCUUGGUGAGCCGUUACCUCACCAACUAGCUAAUGCGCCGCGGGCCCAUCUGUAAGUGACAGCGUAAACCGUCUUUCAGCUUUUUCCACAUGUGUAGAAAAGGAUUAUCCGGUAUUAGCUCCGGUUUCCCGAAGUUAUCCCAGUCUUACAGGCAGGUUGCCCACGUGUUACUCACCCGUCCGCCGCUAACUUUAAAAGCAAGCUUUUAAAGUCCGCUCGACUUGCAUGUAUUAGGCACGCCGCCAGCGUUCGUCCUGAGCCAGGAUCAAACUCU
rnacentral:rRNA from 1 species